ensembl:misc_RNA
CCCACUGGACUUUCCCUAGGUUCCGAGCUAAUCUCUUCUGUGAGCUCACUCUACCCCUCCUCCUCCCUCUAACUCUCUGAGGUUGUUCCUUCACUUAAACCUGUCAUCUGGUGG